GAUUACUUGAUCAUCCUUAAAGAUACAACGUAGGAGAUAGUCCUUAUCACCUUGUUUCAACACUUGCCAACUCAUUUUUCCAAGAGCAAAAUAUGCUAAUUUCCUUAAGUCCUCUAAAUUUUAAGUUCUAAUUCUAACUUGGAAUACCUAGUAUUGACUAGGAUUUCCGAUGAGCAGACUUGAAGAAGAGAUCAAGAUGAAACAAUGAGUUGCGCUGGCACUAAACACACUGACACCAGAUCCUGAAAUUUGUAGAUUUCACAUGGAUCACCAAUUUAUGGGAGUUAAAGUUUAAGGAUAAUUUUACUUCGUGAAGAGUUGACAUCACCGAUUUUGUUAUCUUAACCCAUAGUCUUAACCAUCUUAACACAUGAUAAGUUUUAGGUUAUUUGCGCUGUUAUGUUGAUUUCGUUGUUUACAUUGGAGUAGGCAAAGAUUACACUGGUGGCCAAUGAACAACAACAACAAAAAUCCCUCCAUUCCAAUCGUGUUUACAUUUGUUCGCUAGCCGCUAAAUUAUCAAUUCUGAUUUCUGAUUGAUUACCUGCAUGAAUUCAGUCUUCUUAUUUUAAUUCAAUUUUAGUUACAUCGUGAAAAAGUUCAUCUACCGUAAAUUAAUUUAUCGCUGAAUCAGUGUAGGGUAGUUUCAUCUACAUCUUUAGAGCUCCGAGGCGAUCAUCAGAUCAUAAUCUCACCAUUGGAAUUCUUUCAGUCGAGUAGGUUGCAGGAGGUCAUUCGUCCAGGGUCCAGAUAUAGCCGAACUUGUGAUCAAUAUUUCGCAUUCAUUUUCUCCAAUGUGGGGCCAUAAAAAGAUGUAACAAAGCUUGUAUCAAUACAUCUUUGAACGCAAGCAGAACUGCUGCUGUUAGAAAACUAAAGUGCUCUUGGAUUAUAUCAUUGAAGUUGCCAAUUAUUAGCCGAUUUCGAGUUUGAGGUCACCAACGAAAGCAAAGAAGGAGUAGAGAAUGCGACAAGAUUGUCAAAUUGAUAAAGUUAACCGUAAGUAAGUUGGAGAGGCCGUAACUAGUCAGUUGUGUGACGUCAAGCUAGUAGAUAUUUACCGAAAACAACAAGCAUCUCCGGGUCAUCGGUGCAUCGAUGAGUGAGGCAGUCGCUGCGUGGACCAAUCAGAGUGGCCCUCGAUCGGCCGAAGUUGCGCGAGAUCCGCCGAAGAUGCGCGAGCGGCACGUUUGAAUCUGAGUGGAGUAACAAUUUUCAGCAUUACGCUUUCAUUUCCUCGAUUUUUAGACAAUGUCACAAAUGGGUUAGUUAGUUUUCUAAAGUGAAAUUUCAUCUUCUUUCGAAAAGGUUCUUAUGAAAUUUUGCGUCAGAUCAACCCUGAAAAAGAUAUCGGCGAGAAAUCAUCGCGCGGCAAGCGUUCUCCCAUAAGAACGCGUGUUAAACCGCGGCCGAGUUUCAUCUACUAGUGUGACAUCACAGAAUCAUAGUUACGGCCUCUCCAUUCUCGUAGGCAACGAGUUAACCUAUUCGUUUUUUAUUUUUUCUUGCUGUCAAUCUUGCUGUAGAAUUUCACUCUGAAAGUGAAACAUUUUUGGAGGUCAGAAACCUAUUUUCUUUGAUAUGACUUAUGUAGUAAGUGGCUAAGGAGAACGGCACUUAUCGAGAGAUGUUUUUGAAAAUUACAAGCGUACCAAUACCCAUAAAUUUUGUGUAG
rnacentral:lncRNA from 1 species